GAUGAACGCUGGCGGCGUGCCUAAUACAUGCAAGUCGAGCGAACAGACGAGGAGCUUGCUCCUCUGACGUUAGCGGCGGACGGGUGAGUAACACGUGGAUAACCUACCUAUAAGACUGGGAUAACUUCGGGAAACCGGAGCUAAUACCGGAUAAUAUAUUGAACCGCAUGGUUCAAUAGUGAAAGACGGUUUUGCUGUCACUUAUAGAUGGAUCCGCGCCGCAUUAGCUAGUUGGUAAGGUAACGGCUUACCAAGGCAACGAUGCGUAGCCGACCUGAGAGGGUGAUCGGCCACACUGGAACUGAGACACGGUCAAGACUCCUACGGGAGGCAGCAGUAGGGAAUCUUCCGCAAUGGGCGAAAGCCUGACGGAGCAACGCCGCGUGAGUGAUGAAGGUCUUCGGAUCGUGAAACUCUGUUAUUAGGGAAGAACAAAUGUGUAAGUAACUAUGCACGUCUUGACGGUACCUAAUCAGAAAGCCACGGCUAACUACGUG
rnacentral:rRNA from 1 species